rnacentral:sRNA from 8 species
AAGUUCGGUAUCGAUAUGGUGUUCUUGGGGGAGCCCGAGACCGCAUGGUUGUCUAAGGAGGGGUGUACCGGCCCAGGUCGGAAACGAAGCAGGUCAAAUCCCCCGUACUGUCCAGU